UUUGAUCCUGGCUCAGAACGAACGCUGGCGGCAGGCCUAACACAUGCAAGUCGAGCGAGAUCUUCGGGUCUAGCGGCGGACGGGUGAGUAACGCGUGGGAAUAUGCCCUUCUCUACGGAAUAGCCUCGGGAAACUGAGAGUAAUACCGUAUACGCCCUUUGGGGGAAAGAUUUAUCGGAGAAGGAUUAGCCCGCGUUGGAUUAGGUAGUUGGUGGGGUAAUGGCCUACCAAGCCGACGAUCCAUAGCUGGUUUGAGAGGAUGAUCAGCCACACUGGGACUGAGACACGGCCCAGACUCCUACGGGAGGCAGCAAGGGCGA
rnacentral:rRNA from 1 species